CCCUGGUCACUGUGGGCCGUGGAGGGAUGGCCGCCCAGCUGCUGGCUGACGAGGCCCUGGGGCUGGUGACGUUCAAAGACGUGGCCGUGGACUUCACCCAGGAGGAGUGGCAGCAGCUGGAUCCCGCCCAGAGGGACCUGUAC